GUCAGUUAAUGGACAUUUGAAUUGUUACCACUUUUUGGCUAUUACGAAGCAUGUUGCUGCGAACAUUCUUGUACAGUUUUUUUGUGGAGAUGUAGUUAAAUUUAAUUCCACAGCCACUUCUGGGAUAGGUCCUAAUCUUUACUCAUUUCAUCCUCGAGGAAAAGCCUUGCAGACCUGAAGUAACUUAUGUCAGGACACAUAGUUCCUGCCAGGUGGAAUGGGGUCCUAAACCCUGGUCAGGACACAUAGUUCCUGCCAGGUGGAAUGGGGUCCUAAACCCUGGUCAGGACACAUAGUUCCUGCCAGGUGGAAUGGGGUCCUAAACCCUGGUCCUACCAGUCUUCUUUAAUGGUCACAAGUCUGUAAGUUACACAGAAGCUCCCUAUCAUUCACUACCCCAUCUACUGCAUCUAACCCAGUGCCAGUUGGCCCACAACAAAUACUUGUUACAGGGGUGAAUGAGUGGUGGUCUGUCUUCUUAGGACCUAGAACAAGAGCGUCACUCUAGUCUUGGAUGCGCCCUGUGCCUGUGGCUGCUUGUCUGGGGGCUUCUAGGGCAAGUGUCUUGUCUAAAUGUUGAUCACUGAAUAAAAUGGGCCCAGCCUGGCUUGCCUUCUCUUACCCUUGAACCUGGGUUAGGACCGCAGAGAGCAGCAUUUGGCCUUUCCCAUGCUCCUCAAGGCCUUCACAGUGUCUGGUAACUGCCAGCUCUCAGACAUUGGGCAGACCUGGUCAUCUUUACUAGAGCUGCCCUCAAAGGAACCCCAGGAGGAGGUGGCCCCGUUACCCACUGCCCCUUCCUGCAUGAGGUGUCUACAUCCCUGACCUCUUUGUUCUGAGCCUACCCUGUAGAAAACAAGCUCGUGACCUUGGCAUUAAAUUGGGUAUUGAAGGUUAGAGACCACCAGGAGCACACUGAACCUCUAGCCUGAUUUUCCAUUUUUCCUUCCCUCUCCAGGGUCUGCAAGUGGAUGAUGAGAUUGUGGAGUUCGGCUCUGUGAACACCCAGAACUUCCAGUCACUGCAUAACAUUGGCAGUGUGGUGCAGCACAGUGAGGGGAAGCCCCUGAAUGUGACAGUGAUCCGCAGGGGGGAAAAACACCAGCUUAGACUUGUUCCAACACGCUGGGCAGGAAAAGGACUGCUGGGCUGCAACAUUAUUCCUCUGCAAAGAUGAUUGUCCCUGGGGAACAGUAACAGGAAAGCAUCUUCCCUUGCCCUGGACUUGGGUCUAGGGAUUUCCAACUUGUCUUCUCUCCCUGAAGCAUAAGGAUCUGGAAGAGGCUUGUAACCUGAACUUCUGUGUGGUGGCAGUACUGUGGCCCACCAGUGUAAUCUCCCUGGAUUAAGGCAUUCUUAAAAACUUAGGCUUGGCCUCUUUCACAAAUUAGGCCACGGCCCUAAAUAGGAAUUCCCUGGAUUGUGGGCAAGUGGGCGGAAGUUAUUCUGGCAGGUACUGGUGUGAUUAUUAUUAUUAUUUU
rnacentral:lncRNA from 1 species